GUUCCUUUUCUACCAAGCCUGAUUAGGCAGUGCAGGACAUCUCUUAAAAGUGUUGCUCAAAGGUUAAAACCGUUAGGUGACACCCACAGUACAUAUUGUAUAUCCCCAACCCAUGUGGUCAUAUAUGUGGUUCUAUCUCCAGUGUGUCUGUGGUUUAGAGGGCCAUUUAUCCAAUAGUAGUCAGGGGGUUAUACCAAAUCCCAUGGUGUAGUGGUGCUGGG